AGGCUCUGUAUAACACAAACAACUGUGCCCAUUUCUUUUUGUCCUGAGCCAAACCGUCUGCAAGGAGGAGGACUGGGCUGGAGGAUACAACACCAGGAGUCAAAUUUCAGGAUCAGAAGUUUCAGGCUGGCAGAUUCUGAAGAUUUGCUGCAGGCCCCGCUGUGCUGUGGAGGCGAUUAUGUUCAAGGCCACUUAAGUGUGUUAAAGGAGUUUAGAAGGAGUAAGCAGUGAUGAAGUCUUAUGCCAAGACUAUUGACUGAAUCAAAGAGUCGGAAAGAAACAGACAGCUUCCUAAAGUGAUGAAGGUGCUUGCACAUCUGGCAUGUAAAGAAUGUAAAGAGACUGCUAGUGUAUUGUAGGACAAAAGCUAACAUUAGCUGGCAAUAAUAUAAAUGAGAACCAGACAACUGAAAGAUAAAAAAAAUCCAAUAUAUUACAGAGCCUUCAGCACUAGCAAGAAGAGAAUUCAUAUCUUGGCUGACAGUCUUACGGAGUGAGCCACACAUUUCUCAGCAUAGCAUCCCAGAAGAGACGGUCCUUUGCUUGCAACAUGGGUCUGCGCAUCUAAACAGCCCAUUUCAAAAUGACUCCCCAGCCAUCCCACUGGGAUGAGCUCAUGCACACGUUCUUCAGAUUCCAGCACUGAAGGGAGCACAUCUGUCUAUUGCACAAUCUAGAGGCUGUUUUGAUUAUACGGAAUAAUUGCUUUCUUGGACAGAAGCAUUUGUUCUCUUCACCAUGACUCUUCUCAUCUGUGUCUUUAAUUUUCUAAGAUAGUGGCAUGUGUGCAUGCUAGCAUGGUUCUUUAUAUACUACUUUCUUACAACACUUUUUAGAAUCAGGAAUUCGAAUGGUCUCAACAAACCCAGGAGGUGGGAAAUGCCAUUAUCUUUAUUUUUAUAAACUAAAGCUGAUGGCACCUGGAAAUUGGAGCACUUCUGGAGCAGCCUGAGUCAGAAUCUGAAAAUGAGCUGAGAUUUCCCGACUACACUGCGAAUGCCUUCACCACAGAAAUUUUCUUCUUAAUAUUUUUAGCUUGUUUUCUAUUUUUUGCAAUCGAUCCCUGUCCCCGACCAACACCCUGACCUGUAUUUCUGUAUUGCUUUUUCCGAAGGUGAGCCAUCUGCAUUCAAAGAUACCAAUAAACACUGUAUGU
rnacentral:lncRNA from 1 species